rnacentral:hammerhead_ribozyme from 1 species
CAACGCUGAGGAGUCCCAAAACAAGACGAAACAGCCGUCCGGUGC